rnacentral:rRNA from 1 species
AUUGAACGCUGGCGGCAGGCCUAACACAUGCAAGUCGAGCGAGCGGCGGACGGGUGAGUCAUGUCUGGGAAACUGCCUGAUGGAGGGGGAUAACUACUGGAAACGGUAGCUAAUACCGCAUACCAUCAGAUGUGCGCCGAUGGGAUUAGCUAGUUGGGGGGGUAAUGGCUCACCUAGGCGACGAUCCCUAGCUGGUCUGAGAGGAUGACCAGGCACACUGGAAAUGAGACACGGUCCAGACUCCUACGGGAGGCAGCAGUGGGGAAUAUUGGACAAUGGGCGCAAGCCUGAUGCAGCCAUGCCGCGUGUGUGAAGAAGGCCUUCGGGUUGGAAAGCACUUUAAGCGGGGAGGCGUUACCCGCAGAAGAAGCACCGGCUAACUCCGUGCCAGCAGCCGCGGUAAUAC